UACGGGGGGGGCAAGCGUUGUUCGGAUUUAUUGGGCGUAAAGAGCGUGUAGGCGGCUUGGCAAGUCCGCUGUGAAAACUCGAGGCUUAACCUCGAGACGUCGGUGGAAACUGCCUGGCUAGAGUCCGGAAGAGGAGUGUGGAAUUCCUGGUGUAGCGGUGAAAUGCGCAGAUAUCAGGAAGAACACCUAUGGCGAAGGCAGCACUCUGGGACGGUACUGACGCUGAGACGCGAAAGCGUGGGGAGCGAACAGG
rnacentral:rRNA from 1 species